GACGCUGGCGGCAGGCUUACACAUGCAAGUCGAGCGGGGGAAGGUAGCUUGCUACUGGACCUAGCGGCGGACGGGUGAGUAAUGCUUAGGAAUCUGCCUAUUAGUGGGGGACAACAUCUCGAAAGGGAUGCUAAUACCGCAUACGUCCUACGGGAGAAAGCAGGGGAUCUUCGGACCUUGCCGCUAAUAGAUGAGCCUAAGUCGGAUUAGCUAGUUGGUGGGGUAAAGGCCUACCAAGGCGACGAUCUGUAGCGGGUCUGAGAGGAUGAUCCGCCACACUGGGACUGAGACACGGCCCAGACUCCUACGGGAGGCAGCAGUGGGGAAUAUUGGACAAUGGGGGGAACCCUGAUCCAGCCAUGCCGCGUGUGUGAAGAAGGCCUUAUGGUUGUAAAGCACUUUAAGCGAGGAGGAGGCUACUCUAGUUAAUACCUAGGGAUAGUG
rnacentral:rRNA from 1 species